GCCCAUUUGUCAGGUUACUAUGGCUCGAGUGUAUAAUUGGGAUGUUCACCAGCGUAGAAUGCGAAAAGCUGCUGAUACUUCUACAGAUUAAGGAAACAAAAGUCUACUGCAGCCCAGAUUCAGAGGUGACAAUAUAUAUUCUUGUUGAGAAUGUUGUCCUAAUUUCACAUAGUUUAGUUUAGGCGGAUGGAGUUGUCUUUUGUAUUUUUGGUGAUACAAAUUUUGGUUCGUGGGUUUCCUGCAUCGCUCGUUUGAAAUUCUGGAUGAAGCUUAUUAUAUUUUU
rnacentral:misc_RNA from 1 species